GUGAAGCCCCAGGAGUAGGUGCAGUUCUUGAAGAUGUUGCGCAAGGCAUGGUACCAUGGGAGAAGUGGUGCAUGAACAACGUCUCCAGCAGGUGCUUGACGUAGUGCAAUGAGUGACAGAUGCAGGUGAGGUGCACCACCAUGUGCCGACUGGAUGUGAAGUCAUAUUUGUUGCCAUAGAUGAAGGGCACUCAGAAGUAGAAGAGCAGGUAGAUGAAAAGAGGCCCCCCGUACUCUGUUAGGAAGACCGUCACCCAGCUGAUCUGGGCCCCCACAUCCUGGAAGUAGAGUGUGGCCAUGGCGCCCACGGGCAUCUUCUGCAGAACAUCUUCAUCAUUCAGGGACUUGCCCUUGGGGUCCAGGCGGAGGGACUGGUGGGCAGGGUACCACUGCAGAGGGGUCUUGGUGAAGAGGUUCUUGAUCUCUGCAGUGGUGGUGUGGGGCUCCACCUUGUCCAGGAAACACAGCUUCUCCCCUGUCUUUGCGUGCAGAAUCUCCACCUCUUAGUGCUUCAUGGCUGUCUCCCACGGCGGCUACUGCUCCAUGGCUGCUGCUGCCUAACUGCGCGGCACAGCACAGGGUCCCGCCGUUCGGGGUCCCUGACUUCCCGCAACACUAUAUACCAAGUGGCAUUAUGUGAUCUUCUUCAUAGAGGUCCCAAAACAUAUUGCCUUGUAUAUUUGGCCUUUUGAUAGUUUACUUGUACUUUCUUAAUUUUUUUUUUGC
rnacentral:lncRNA from 1 species